rnacentral:miRNA from 2 species
UCAGGCAAAGGGAUAUUUACAGA